rnacentral:lncRNA from 1 species
UUUUUAAAAGUUUGAAAUAGCAUCGGAAAUUCGGAAUUAGUUGGCAGUUAACGCGCGGGCUCGGGUAAGAAGGAAGAAAUUUGAAUUUCACUAUAAAUUACAUUACCAAGUCAGAAGAGCUGGGAAAGUUGGAGAAAGCUGAGUGCGAUUGCUCAAAGAUCGUCAAAAAGAGUUUGAGACUGAACAUCAAGAGCAAAUUUGUUCGCAGAGGAUGCCGAUCGCUAAGAAGAAUACGCGGCAGAGUAUUUCUCUAGAUCGAUACAUGCUUUUCUUCCAUUCUCGUCCCUUUAUUGAUUUCAGAAUCCCCGAACUCAAUCAGGUUUUGCGGCAAACUCUAUCUAGUUCUUCCAUGUUCAUCGCUAGAACUGUAGUUUUCCGAUUUCUGAUUCUUACUUUACCUCCGUAUCUUUCCUCUUUCGAUUCUACGUUACAGAUUGUUUCCUUGCACGGUUUCAAGAAAUUACAAACUAAGGUCAGGGGGUCUCUAUGCUCUCUCGCGCUCGCUGUUUGAUUAUGAUUGCUGGCUACCACCUGUUUAAUAAAACUGAGAACGCCGAUGAUCUGUUAAACUGUUCUAUGGAAAUUGUUGAGUUCAUCAGUUAGCUCUGGUGCCGAUACCUCUCGGGUUAUUUGGCUAUCUCUUGUUCUCUUCUCUCCAGAUAAUUUAUCGGCCUGAUUACUUUGUGUGUCUCUGUUUCUAGCUAUUUUCGGGAGGCAAACAGCCUCGUUAAUGUCGAUUCUUUGCAAAUUCGCUCUUAUGCAGAAAGUUCUGACGGAAGCAUUGGGGGAUCUGGAUCUGAUGGACCUCUCCCGCUCCNNN